rnacentral:rRNA from 1 species
CCUACGGGAGGCAGCAGUGAGGAAUAUUGGUCAAUGGGCGUAAGCCUGAACCAGCCAAGUCGCGUGAGGGAUGAAGGUUCUAUGGAUCGUAAACCUCUUUUAUAAGGGAAUAAAGUGUGGGACGUGUCCUGUUUUGUAUGUACCUUAUGAAUAAGGAUCGGCGAACUCCGUGCCAGCAGCCGCGGUAAUCAGGAGGAUCCGAGCGUUAUCCGGAUUUAUUGGGUUUAAAGGGUGCGUAGGGGGCCUUUUAAGUCAGCGGGGAAAGUCUGUGGCUCAACCAUAGAAUUGCCGUUGAAACUGGGAGGCUUGAGUAUGUUUGAGGCAGGCGGAAUGCGGUGUGUAGCGGGGAAAUGCUUAGAUAUCACGCAGAACCCCGAUUGCGAAGGCAGCCUGCCAAGCCAUGACUGACGCUGAUGCACGAAAGCGUGGGGAUCAAACAGGAUUAGAUACCCUAGUAGUC